rnacentral:tRNA from 1 species
GUUAGCGUGGCAGAGCUUGGCCAUGCAAAAGAUCUAAACCCUUUCUCCAGGGGUUCAAAUCCCC